rnacentral:lncRNA from 1 species
UCAGGAAGUGUAUGAGCAGUGGUUCAGGUUUUCAUUAUUUUACUCUUAUGGUAACAACAAAUUGUCUCCAUCAGAAAUCAUCAUCAUGAAGUGGUUGCAAAGGACAGGCAUGGAGGUCUAAAGACACAUGGUGAAAUACACAGUGCUUCUGAAAUCUGCUGAUGAAUGAAGGGUGGUGUGAACCAUGACUUGCAAGCUGCAGAAUGGUUUGCAGGGUAGGAUUUGGGAUGUCCCACCCUCCAGAAACAAUCUGGAUCAUAGUGAUAGCUGAAGUUGUGCAUAACUGACACGAGCGGUAAGUGAAGGCAGUGAGAUUUUGCAAGGUAAAAGAAAAAAAUCUGCAAUUGAACUUCUUAUCUCUGAUUAUGUUCCAAAAAGAUCAAGAGCUGUUCUGUUGUAGUUUUCCUAUUUCAUAUAUUGAUAGGCUUCUAAAGCACAGAGCAAUUAGAUAAAUUGUCUACCAGUGCUCAGAAAGAGGGGCUGAUACAAAUUUCCUAAGCCAGUCAUGUGACAGGUAAGACAGUUAUGCAGAUCCUAGCAAAAAUGGCUGGAAUUUCUACUCGUGAAGAAGUCAAGACAGAAAUCAUCUUCAGCUGAACAUAUAUAAAUAUAUGCAAAAAAAAAUAAAUCUUUGUAUUUAGAACA